UACGUAGGGUGCAAGCGUUGUCCGGAAUUAUUGGGCGUAAAGAGCUCGUAGGCGGUUUGUCGCGUCGGCUGUGAAAACCUGGGGGCUCAACCCCGGGCCUGCAGCCGAUACGGGCAAACUAGAAUUCGGUAGGGGAGACUGGAAUUCCUGGUGUAGCGGUGAAAUGCGCAGAUAUCAGGAGGAACACCGGUGGCGAAGGCGGGUCUCUGGGCCGAUAUUGACGCUGAGGAGCGAAAGCGUGGGGAGCGAACAGG
rnacentral:rRNA from 1 species